rnacentral:rRNA from 1 species
AUUGAACGCUGGCGGCAUGCUUUACACAUGCAAGUCGAACGGUAACAGGCCGCAAGGUGCUGACGAGUGGCGAACGGGUGAGUAAUGCAUCGGAACGUGCCCAGUCGUGGGGGAUAACUGCUCGAAAGAGCAGCUAAUACCGCAUACGAUCUAUGGAUGAAAGCGGGGGACCGUAAGGCCUCGCGCGAUUGGAGCGGCCGAUGUCAGAUUAGGUAGUUGGUGGGGUAAAGGCUCACCAAGCCAACGAUCUGUAGCUGGUCUGAGAGGACGGCCAGCCACACUGGGACUGAGACACUGCCCAGACUCCUACGGGAGGCAGCAGUGGGGAAUUUUGGACAAUGGGCGCAAGCCUGAUCCAGCAAUGCCGCGUGCAGGAAGAAGGCCUUCGGGUUGUAAACUGCUUUUGUCAGGGAAGAAAUCUUCUGGGUUAAUACCUCGGAAGGAUGACGGUACCUGAAGAAUAAGCACCGGCUAACUACGUGCCAGCCGCCGCGGUAACAC